CUUGGUCAUUUAGAGGAAGUAAAAGUCGUAACAAGGUCUCCGUUGGUGAACCAGCGGAGGGAUCAUUACAGAGUUGAAAAACUCCAACCCCUGUGAACCUUACCAUUACUGUCGCUUCGGCGGACGAAGGCCCCCUUGGGGCUGGAUGCCGCCGGAGGUUUCAAACUCUGAAUCUUUGUGUAUCUCUGAGGAAAAAAACAAAUAAUUAAAACUUUCAACAACGGAUCUCUUGGUUCUGGCAUCGAUGAAGAACGCAGCGAAGUGCGAUAAGUAAUGUGAAUUGCAGAAUUCAGUGAAUCAUCGAAUCUUUGAACGCACAUUGCGCCCGCUGGUAUUCCGGCGGGCAUGCCUGUUCGAGCGUCAUUUCACCACUCAAGCCCAGCUUGGUGUUGGAGCACCCGGCCGCCUGGCGAUCGGGGCCCCCAAGUACAUCGGCGGUCUCGCUAGGACCCUGAGCGCAGUAACUCGCGGUAAAACGCGCCUCGCUCGGAAGUUCCCAGCGGGCUUCCAGCCGCUAAACCCCCUAAUUUUCUUAGGUUGACCUCGGAUCAGGUAGGAAUACCCGCUGAACUUAAGCAUAUCAAUAAGCGGAGGAAAAGAAACCAACAGGGAUUGCCCUAGUAACGGCGAGUGAAGCGGCAACAGCUCAAAUUUGAAAUCUGGCCCUAGGCCCGAGUUGUAAUUUGCAGAGGAUGCUUUUGGUGACGCGCUUACCGAGUCCCCUGGAACGGGGCGCCACAGAGGGUGAGAGCCCCGUAUGGUUUGACGCCGAGCCUCUGUAAAGCUCCUUCGACGAGUCGAGUUGUUUGGGAAU
rnacentral:sRNA from 1 species